UGAGGAAUAUUGGUCAAUGGACGGAAGUCUGAACCAGCCAUGCCGCGUGCAGGAAGACGGCCUUAUGGGUUGUAAACUGCUUUUGUGCGAGAGCAGUAAGGGUUACGUGUAACCCGAUGAGAGUAUCGUACGAAUAAGCAUCGGCUAACUCCGUGCCAGCAGCCGCGGUAAUACGGAGGAUGCAAGCGUUAUCCGGAUUCAUUGGGUUUAAAGGGUGCGUAGGCGGAUUAAUAAGUCAGUGGUGAAAUAUUGCAGCUUAACUGUAAUCGUGCCAUAGAUACUGUUAGUCUAGAGAGCAAAUGGAGUAGGCGGAAUAUGUCAUGUAGCGGUGAAAUGCAUAGAUAUGACAUAGAACACCGAUCGCGAAGGCAGCUUACUAAGAUGCAACUGACGCUGAUGCACGAAAGCGUGGGGAUCAAGCAGGAUUAGAUACCCUGGUAGUCCACGCUGUAAACGAUGAUAACUCGUUGUCGGCGAUACACAGUCGGUGACUGAGCGAAAGCGAUAAGUUAUCCAC
rnacentral:rRNA from 1 species